GACAGAGGGGGCAAACGUUGUUCGGAAUUACUGGGCGUAAAGCGCGUGUAGGCAGCUCGGCAAGUCGGGUGUGAAAGCCCUGGGCUUAACCUAGGAAGUGCACUCGAAACUUCCGAGCUUGAGUUCUGGAGAGGAAGGCGGAAUUCUCGGUGUAGAGGUGAAAUUCGUAGAUAUCGAGAGGAACACCGGUGGCGAAGGCGGCCUUCUGGACAGUGACUGACGCUGAGACGCGAAAGCGUGGGGAGCAAACAGG
rnacentral:rRNA from 1 species